rnacentral:rRNA from 1 species
UGGGAAACUGCCUGAUGGAGGGGGAUAACUACUGGAAACGGUGGCUAAUACCGCAUAACGUCGCAAGACCAAAGAGGGGGACCUUCGGGCCUCUUGCCAUCAGAUGUGCCCAGAUGGGAUUAGCUAGUUGGUGAGGUAACGGCUCACCAAGGCGACGAUCCCUAGCUGGUCUGAGAGGAUGACCAGCCACACUGGAACUGAGACACGGUCCAGACUCCUACGGGAGGCAGCAGUGGGGAAUAUUGCACAAUGGGCGCAAGCCUGAUGCAGCCAUGCCGCGUGUAUGAAGAAGGCCUUCGGGUUGUAAAGUACUUUCAGCGGGGAGGAAGGUGUUGUGGUUAAUAACCGCAGCAAUUGACGUUACCCGCA